rnacentral:rRNA from 1 species
GGUGCUUGCAUCAUGAUUUACAUUUGAGUGAGUGGCGAACUGGUGAGUAACACGUGGGAAACCUGCCCAGAAGCGGGGGAUAACACCUGGAAACAGAUGCUAAUACCGCAUAACAACUUGGACCGCAUGGUCCGAGUUUGAAAGAUGGCUUCGGCUAUCACUUUUGGAUGGUCCCGCGGCGUAUUAGCUAGAUGGUGAGGUAACGGCUCACCAUGGCAAUGAUACGUAGCCGACCUGAGAGGGUAAUCGGCCACAUUGGGACUGAGACACGGCCCAAACUCCUACGGGAGGCAGCAGUAGGGAAUCUUCCACAAUGGACGAAAGUCUGAUGGAGCAACGCCGCGUGAGUGAAGAAGGGUUUCGGCUCGUAAAACUCUGUUGUUAAAGAAGAACAUAUCUGAGAGUAACUGUUCAGGUAUUGACGGUAUUUAACCAGAAAGCCACGGCUAACUACGUGCCAGCAGCCGCGGUAAUACGUAGGUGGCAAGCGUUGUCCGGAUUUAUUGGGCGUAAAGCGAGCGCAGGCGGUUUUUUAAGUCUGAUGUGAAAGCCUUCGGCUCAACCGAAGAAGUGCAUCGGAAACUGGGAAACUUGAGUGCAGAAGAGGACAGUGGAACUCCAUGUGUAGCGGUGAAAUGCGUAGAUAUAUGGAAGAACACCAGUGGCGAAGGCGGCUGUCUGGUCUGUAACUGACGCUGAGGCUCGAAAGUAUGGGUAGCAAACAGGAUUAGAUACCCUGGUAGUCCAUACCGUAAACGAUGAAUGCUAAGUGUUGGGAGGGUUUCCGCCCCUUCCCUG